AUUGAACGCUGGCGGCAUGCCUUACACAUGCAAAUCGAACGGUAACGGGCCUUCGGGUGCCGACGAGUGGCGCACGGGUGCGUAAUACAUCGGAACGUGCCCGAUCGUGGGGGAUAACGAGGCGAAAGCUUUGCUAAUACCGCAUACGAUCUACGGAUGAAAGCAGGGGACCGCAAGGCCUUGCGCGGACGGAGCGGCCGCUGGCAGAUUAUGUAGAUGGUGGGAUAAAAGCUUACCAAGCCGACGAUCUGUAGCUGGUCUGAGAGGAUGAUCAGCCACACUGGAACUGAGACACGGCCCAGACUCCUACGGGAGGCAGCAGUGGGGAAUUUUGGACAAUGGGCGCAAGCCUGAUCCAGCCAUGCCGCGUGCAGGAUGAAGGCCUUCGGGUUGUAAAGUGAUUUUGUACGGAACGAAAAGCCUUCUUUUAAUACAGGAGGGUCAUGACGGUACCGUAAGAAUAAGCACCGGCUAACUACGUG
rnacentral:rRNA from 1 species